UGGGGAAUAUUGGACAAUGGGCGAAAGCCUGAUCCAGCCAUGCCGCGUGUGUGAAGAAGGUCUUCGGAUUGUAAAGCACUUUAAGUUGGGAGGAAGGGCAGUAAGCUAAUACCUUGCUGUUUUGACGUUACCGACAGAAUAAGCACCGGCUAACUCUGUGCCAGCAGCCGCGGUAAUACAGAGGGUGCAAGCGUUCAUCGGAAUUACUGGGCGUAAAGCGCGCGUAGGUGGUUUGUUAAGUUGGAUGUGAAAGCCCCGGGCUCAACCUGGGAACUGCAUCCAAAACUGGCAAGCUAGAGUACGGUAGAGGGUGGUGGAAUUUCCUGUGUAGCGGUGAAAUGCGUAGAUAUAGGAAGGAACACCAGUGGCGAAGGCGACCACCUGGACUGAUACUGACACUGAGGUGCGAAAGCGUGGGGAGCAAACA
rnacentral:rRNA from 1 species